UAGAAAAAGCAGACAUUGUGUUGGAGAGGAAGAUAACGGUAGAUAACGGCCUCUGGUAUUGAGAAACAAACUGAAUUGUUCACUCACUGUUGUACGCAAUUUGAUUUUGUGUGUGUGUGUGUGUUUUAAGCAACGCUCCCCACACAACCUGACAGAGCUUGAGAGGAUCUGCAGAGAAGAAGGCGAGAAACUCCCCAAAUACAGACACCCUUCGGCUCCCCCUCCAAAGGAAGUAGGGAUAAAUGGACAUGCCCAGAGUUGCAGAACAAACACCCUGAGAUUUUACGUAUCCCCUCACGAGGAAAAGGGGGGAUCUGGCGCCGAAGGGGUGGAUUACGUUUCUGGGAUAUGACUUCACAUAGAAAUAUAUGUGUGUAUGUGUCUUCUUAUUUGAUAUUUUUGUGUGAAUGUGCGUAUGUGUAAUAGAGCAUGUGCAUAUGUGUCAGUGUGUGGGCGUGUCUGUCUCAUCGGGGGCCAGGGGUCUCCAGCGUCCUGCCAGCACCUCCUGGGCGUGUGGUGAUAAGGUGGCCUCCAGUAUCUGGCGUCAUUACCCAGGGAUAAAGGCCACUCUCACUGUCACUGAGGAGUGUAUGCUCUGACACACACACACACACACACACACACACACACACACACACACACACACACACACACACACACACACACACACACACACACACACACACACACACAAACACAAACACAAACACACACACGCACCAGCCUCCAAGGCUUUACGUAACCCUAGAUGACGACUGUUCAUGGAGUGCCAACCAUUGGAUUGAUGGUGCCCAUAAUGAAGAUCUCUGACCCUCUACAAUGCUGAGGGCUGAUAAGUGAACUACAAAUCUUGGUCACUUUCCAGUUUUUACCAAUCCUGAACACAACACUACAAGUAUUGAGCCCUUAUUUGAAACAGAGGCUAUGGCUGAAGUAGCUGAAGCUUACAUUACAGCUUGAUUUUGUAGGUUUGUCUGUAUUUCAAUCAUCACAUAAUUGACAUAUUUUUACAUAUUGUUGAAAUAAUAGACAUUCAUAGGCGGUAUGUUAGAAUUAAUACAAAUUCAUAUUAUUUUUAUUCUAAACUAAAGGAAACACAAUACUAAACUAAACAAAAUACUGACCUUUAUGAAGAGUUCAAUAGUCGGGUCUUUGUCGGUGUUCUGUCGUAGUGCCAUUUUGUCCAAAAGCUGUGUUGUGUGGUGCCAAGUUCAGAAACGUUUUUCCAACAAGUGU